UACGGGGGGGGCAAGCGUUGUUCGGAAUUACUGGGCGUAAAGGGCUCGUAGGCGGCCAACUAAGUCCGACGUGAAAUCCCAAGGCUUAACCUUGGAACUGCGUCGGAUACUGGAUGGCUUGAAUUCGGGAGAGGGAUGCAGAAUUCCAGGUGUAGCGGUGAAAUGCGCAGAUAUCGUGAGGAACACCAGAGGCGAAGGCGGCUACCUGGACAAUUGCUGACGCUCAGGCACGAAAGCGUGGGGAGCAAAAGGG
rnacentral:rRNA from 1 species